rnacentral:misc_RNA from 1 species
UCGUAUAAAAUGGAGGUGCUGGGGCUGUCGCUGACCUUUGACAAGGUCGUGCACGCCCGCAGCACUCUCUCAUAUCCAUCUCACCCCUUUGUGCAUUGCCGCGUGGGUCCCCUUUUUGGCUUGUUCUGAGGGGGACCUGCGUUUUUACAUAGACACCCUUUGAAUGCAUGUGUAGAAUGUCUUACUUUUUGCGAUCACACGCAAUUAAUA